rnacentral:lncRNA from 1 species
GUGUCUUUGACAGGGUUUUCUACGCCGCUUUUUCGGCGACUUUUUGCUCUUCCGCUUUUUGCCACCGCCCCCAACCUUCUAUAUCCUUGCAGCCCCUACCUUUUCUUGUGUUGCUCCUCCCCUGGCAGCCGUGAGGGGGGUUAGAUCUCAGCCGGAGCCGGAGCUGGGCCUAGCUGUCCCACGGGCCACCACUACCUCCUUUGGUUCGGGAGAAAGCUACGACCAAGUACGCCCAGCUCGGGCCUUAGAACUUCUGAACGGGCAGUGCGGGUAGGCCCUGCUUAGCCCUUCCCGGAGGACACCUGUGAGUUUAGGGGGUUUCGGAGAGGAACGCAGCAGUGUAGGCCCAGGUCGGCGGCGGGGCACGGGAAACUUUUCCGAAACGGUAGCGUUUUGUUUUGCGUGGGAGGUUCCAGCAGUAUCUCUUGGUUAUUCCAAAUUUAUGGGCGGCAUCUGGGCUGCUGUACAUUUUGAAGAAUCUUAGGACCGCUUACUUUGCUUACUCGUUUUCUAUUCCUCGCGUACUGCCUCGUCCACCACUCCAGGACCAAAAGAGGAAGAUAGUCUUGGGACCCUUGCAUGGUGUUUCAAAGGGUGGUGAAGAACUAAGGUAGAAGAAUACAUGUUCACUUCCAGUGAACAAGAGCAUGUUCCCAAACUCAAUUUUGGGUCGCCCACCCUUCACUCCAAAUCAUCAACAACAUAAUAACUUCUUUACCCUGUCACCUACUGUUUAUUCACACCAGCAGCUUAUAGAUGCACAAUUCAACUUUCAGAAUGCAGACUUGUCUAGAGCUGUGUCAUUACAGCAGCUGACAUAUGGAAAUGUCAGUCCAAUACAGACCUCAGCUUCCCCAUUAUUUCGAGGAAGGAAGAGAUUAAGCGAUGAAAAAAACCUUCCUCUUGACGGUAAACGGCAACGUUUCCAUUCACCCCACCAAGAGCCAACUGUAGUUAACCAGAUAGUGCCUUUAUCAGGUGAACGAAGAUACUCAAUGCCACCAUUGUUUCAUACACAUUAUGUACCAGAUAUAGUCAGAUGUGUUCCACCUUUUCGAGAAAUUGCAUUUUUAGAACCUAGAGAAAUCACACUGCCUGAGGCCAAAGAUAAGUUGAGUCAGCAGAUACUGGAGUUAUUUGAAACAUGUCAGCAGCAAAUAAGUGAUUUAAAGAAGAAAGAACUCUGUCGAACACAGCUGCAGAGAGAAAUUCAGCUGUUAUUUCCACAAAGCAGACUUUUUUUGGUUGGGUCCUCUUUAAAUGGAUUUGGUACCCGGAGCAGUGAUGGUGAUUUAUGCCUAGUUGUUAAGGAAGAACCAGUAAGUAAGGAAACAUUUAUUCCAAGUGUGUUUCUCAUGUUAAUGAGUUAAGAAAUUUUACAUAAAAGUCAUUGAGGG